AACGAACGCUGGCGGCAUGCCUAACACAUGCAAGUCGAACGAUUGCCUUCGGGUGAUAGUGGCGCACGGGUGCGUAACGCGUGGGAAUCUGCCCUUAGGUUCGGAAUAACAGCUGGAAACGGCUGCUAAUACCGGAUGAUAUCGCGAGAUCAAAGAUUUAUCGCCUGAGGAUGAGCCCGCGUUGGAUUAGGUAGUUGGUGGGGUAAAGGCCUACCAAGCCGACGAUCCAUAGCUGGUCUGAGAGGAUGAUCAGCCACACUGGGACUGAGACACGGCCCAGAGCCUGGGGGAAGGAGGGGGGGGGAAAUAUGAAAAGAGGGCCGCGGGCAUGACAAAGCAGGGCGGGGGGAGAGAGGAGGGCCGAAGGUUAGAAAAGUCUUUUACGCGGGAAAAAAAGGGAGGGGACGGGGAGAAAAAGCCCGGGUAAACCCGGGG
rnacentral:rRNA from 1 species